UAAGGAAUAUUGGUCAAUGGACGCAAGUCUGAACCAGCCAUGCCGCGUGAAGGAUGAAGGUCCUCUGGAUUGUAAACUUCUUUUAUCUGGGACGAAAAAAGGGCUUUCUAGCUCGACUGACGGUACCAGAGGAAUAAGCACCGGCUAACUCCGUGCCAGCAGCCGCGGUAAUACGGAGGGUGCAAGCGUUAUCCGGAUUCACUGGGUUUAAAGGGAGCGUAGGCGGGCAGGUAAGUCAGUGGUGAAAUCUCCGGGCUUAACCCGGAAACUGCCAUUGAUACUAUCUGUCUUGAAUAUCCUGGAGGUAAGCGGAAUAUGUCAUGUAGCGGUGAAAUGCUUAGAUAUGACAUAGAACACCCAUUGCGAAGGCAGCUUACUACGGGAUGAUUGACGCUGAGGCUCGAAAGCGUGGGGAUCAAACAGGAUUAGAUACCCUGGUAGUCCACGCCCUAAACGAUGGAUACUCGACAUCAGCGAUACACUGUUGGUGUCUGAGCGAAAGCAUUAAGUAUCCCACCUGGGAAGUACGACCGCAAGGUUG
rnacentral:rRNA from 1 species